rfam:Oxobacter pfennigii strain DSM 3222 OXPF_contig000061, whole genome shotgun sequence.
GGGGGUGUAGCUCAGCUGGGAGAGCACCUGCCUUGCAAGCAGGGGGUCAUCGGUUCGAUUCCGUUCAUCUCCA